GUCUAUUUUUUACCGACCUCAAAAGUGGUGACGUAUUUCACAAACGCAUGGCAAAAAUGGACAUUGAAGUAGUCGUUGGAUGUUACGAAGAGCUAUUGUUGGGGUUUAGAAUCGUUCAAGUAGGAGAGAAUUUCCAGUUAGAACCAAGCUUCACUGACCACUCUCACUCUGGUUGCAUAAAACACAUUGCGGUUUCAAACAAGGGAUUCUUGGCAUCAGGAGGCACAGAUGAAACCAUUCAGUUGUUUCAUCUUGGAAGGAGAACACAGUUAGGGUCUUUAGUACAUCAUUCAGGGUCUUUGACCUGUCUGCAAUUUUUCAAUAGUUCCCACCUGUUCAGUGCCAGUGAAGAUGGAACAUUUUGUAUAUGGAGCAGAGCAACAUGGGAGUGUUUGAAAACAUUCAGAGGACACAAGGGCCCAGUGCGGUGGUUGUCUCUCCAUCCCAGUGGAAAACUGGUGUUAACCGUUGGUCAAGACAAAACGCUUCGGACUUGGAAUGUUAUUACAGGAAAGUCAGCCUACAUAACAAACAUUAAACGAGCGGCAGAUUUUGUUUGCUGGUCCCCUAGUGGUUCACAUUAUGCUGUUGUGUUCACCAACAAAGUGGAUGUGUACAAACUGGAGGUACAGUUCUUUAUUUUUCUUGAUUUUAAAGAUAAAAAAUUAAAUAAGGAGUGUUUAUUGAGUUAGAUGCCAACUCUAAAGAGGUGCAUGUAUAAGAAACCACCACUUUGUGACAUACUCUCAAUCAAAUAAAACUUAACAUUUGUUUUCUUCCACAUACUCGUUUCACAGCAAUGCAUUCUUGGUCAAAGCAUUACUUUUUUAUCUUUUAAACCAUGAGUUCAAAACGGCAGGGGUUUUACAAUUUAACCCUCACAAAAAAUUUUAAAAUCCAUUAUUAAGUUAAAAAAUUGUACAGAUCAGAUUUUUUUUAAAUUGGGAAUGUGUUACAGAUAUGAUGCAGUUUCAUCCGUAUUGAAUUCACAAAGUUUCCCAUACCAACUAAUUAGUUAACUUUUUAUGUUUUGUACAUAGACUAACAUGUAAGUUACAGGCAUGUAGUAUGUGUAACAACAUGUUUUAAAAGUGAAGGUUGUAGAAAGAAAAUAUAAUACCUAAAAGUAAAGAGGUUUAUCACUGUGUAGUAGUGUAGUCUGUACAUUUUUUCCCCUUUCUAUUUCAGACUGCCACCAUAUGCUCAUCAUGGACAGCUGAGAAAAAAAUAAACUCCUUUACCUUUUUAAAUGUAAAGUGUUUUGUAUAAAUGUCUCAAAAUUUUAAACAAUGUCUUAAUACAUUUGAUAUUGUACAAAAUUUAAAAGUUAUAUUAAUCACAAGAACUACCAUUGUCUGGUAUCACUGGAAUCCUCGUGUCAUUAUUAUGCUGUGUCUAUUGUAUGAUAAUUUCUGGAGAAGUGGUAGUACAAAUAGAAUGUUAUCUCUGUACAGGACAGUGUUGUUGUCUAUGGUGGAGAUGGAGGGGUGGUGUUCUUCCAUGACAUCACCAAAGACAAAGAAAUUCAACAAGUGGAUACAGAAGUCAACAGGAUUAGAGGUAUAUCCAUCAUUAGAGCAGAAGAAACUGAAGACAACAAGUUUUACACGUUUACAGCCUCCAGUGAUGGGUUCAUCAAAAUGUUCUCAGUUAUUUUGGAGGGAGAUGAGGUAAAAGUAAAGUUGUUAACAAAGCACAAUGCAGAUUUCCGGCUGACCUGUAUGACUGCGGCCCGAAUUCCAGCUAGAGGCUCACCAAAAGGGUCAAAGGUUGUAAAGUCAGAGGUCACUGUGAAGACAGAGGAUGAACUAGAUGAUGACAGACUGUCAGAUGAGAAUACAGAUGAAGUCAGUGAGGAAUGUGGAAGUAAAAGUAGUAAAAAGACAGUAAAAGCAGAAAUUAAAUUGAAGAAAAACAUGAAAAAUAAACCUGUCAAGCGAUGCGGAACUAAACCAAUUCAGAAAAGUAAGUACUGAACAAUGAAGUACAUUUUUAGAUAAAAAUUUCACGCAAUAUUAAAUUGUCAGAUUUUUCUGUCAUUUUUAAAAAAAAUAUCAUACAUGUAUAUGAUUAACUCAAUUAGUUUAUGGUUACUUUUAGAUAAAUGUUUGUUGCAGCUUGGAUUAGUUAAAAUCCACUAUUUGUAAUUACUAUAAGUAUUUGUAGGCAUGACCUAACACACAAUUUUUUCUGAAAAAAUAUUAGAAUUGGGUUUGCUUUCUUCGCAGCAUAGAAUGAACUGUUUACGUACAUGUAUAGAUAGUAUGUUUUUCGAGUGUCAGAGACCCAUGGUUGAUUGCAACACUUCUUUCCCCUCUCUCUUAGUGUAAUGGAGAAAGGGAAAAACAUACUAGUAAUCACCAGUGGGUUUCCAAUGAUGUGAUCUUAAUGUAUUUACCAUAUUUUGGAAUAAUUCAAGAAUAUUUCCUUAUGUUUCAGAGAAAGGGAAAAAGAUAAAGGUGGAAGAUACCUAAUUCUGUAUCAUGAUGAAUAAAUGUUGUAUUU
rnacentral:misc_RNA from 1 species